AUGAACUGUUUUAUUUCACGCAAGCCGAACCCAAUACUCCGUUGCCCUGCACACUCAGGGAGAGUGCACCUGGUCUGCAAAAGAGGCAAAAACUCGGUUUCUUUGUUCAGCACGGUAUCCAAGCAUUGGCCUAGCAGUAUUUUCAACAUUUUGCAGCCCCAGGAGUGCUCCUUUUCUUUCUUCCCACUGUCCUGGUUAAAUGUGAGCUCUUUCGCUUGAGUGAAACA
rnacentral:lncRNA from 1 species